GGCCAGUGGUGCUUCAUAUGGUACAAAACCCAGCUGGUUCUUCUCUACGUCAUCAUCUAAUUGAUCUCUUUCUCCUCAUUCGUCCUAAUGGAAAAUGGGAUUUUCCUUCUCAUUGUCCCUCUUUUCACUGCUAUAUUAACCUUAAUCUUGACCUUCACUUCCCAGAUAAUCAAUGGCAGAACGAACAGAAAGCGUGCUGUUGGCUUCUUCCAUCCCUUCACAAACGACGGUGGCGGUGGAGAGAGAGUCCUCUGGUGCGCUGUUAAAGCAAUCCAAGAAAAAAGCCCUGAUCUUGAUUGUGUGAUUUACACCGGGGAUCACGAUGCCUCCCCUCACUCGCUGACACUCGCGCCACCGAUCGCUUCGGUGUCAACUUGGUUUAUCCACCGAUGGUACCCGCCUACGCUUAAUGGGUUUGUUUUGUUCGAUUUAUAGAAUCAAUAUUUGGGAAUUUUGAAUGAUGUUCUUUUUUGCCUUUUGGGGUUUUCGGUUGUUUGAUUCUGUGUGAAUGCUUGCUUGCUUGUUUGCUUUAGGCGUUGCAUCUGUAAAAAAGGAAAUGGGUAGAAGAAACUAGUUAUCCUCGCUUCACCAUGAUUGGUCAGAGCUUGGGUUCGAUUUAUCUUUGCUGGGAAGCUUUAUGCAAGUUUACUCCUUCGUAUUAUUUUGAUACUAGUGGCUAUGCUUUCACUUGUCCACUUGCUCGGAUUUUUGGUUGCAAAGUUGUUUGUUACACGCAUUAUCCUACUAUCAGUUUAGAUAUGAUUUCUCGUGUUCGCAAUCGGAAUUCCACGUACAACAAUGAUGCUUCAAUUGCCAGGAGUGGUUGGCUAUCACGGUGCAAAAUCAUCUAUUAUACAUUCUUUAGUUGGAUGUAUGGGUUUGCGGGCUCUUGUGCACAUCUUGCAAUGGUGAACUCCUCAUGGACACAAGCUCAUAUUGAAAAGCUUUGGAGAAUUCCAAAGCGUAUCAACCGAGUCUAUCCUCCUUGUGAUACAUCAGGGCUUCAGGUUUUUAAUAUAGUGUUUGUUUCUUCAAUCUUUAUGGUAGUUAUAUACACUAUCACGAGUGUUAUCUGUCUCUCACACACACAUAUGAAGUGGUGCUCUGCACCCUUGUGAUUCCAAUCCUGACAUUCUUACUAUUGGAUCAAGCAGUGGCCUUUUGUUUUUCUAUUAUAUGUCCAAAAUAAACUUUUGUCCUUGAAAUACUGUGUUGAGCAUUCUUUUGGCUGGGUUGUCUUGAAUUCUUUUGGAAGCUCAUUUCAUGACCCAUGAGAAGUCUUGGAAAACAAUAAAUUUAUAAAUAUAUAUAAUCAAAUGGUUGUUUUCUAGUUUGAAACAUUACUUUCAACAUGCUGUGUUCCUCCUUGUAGAAAACAUUUUUUUUUUGCUUGUUUGCUUGGUGCAUUGUGAAUUAUUUUUCCUGUCAUUGACUUAUUAUUAAUGUUAACAUGUAAGUUGGUUCGAUGUUUUGAAUCCAUCUUGAGAUGCUAUAUGCUCCAUUUUACUUGAAAAAUUUUUGCACAUUUGAGUCUAACAAAUUGACGUCAAAACAGGCUCUUCCUUUGGAAAGGUCAGCAUCAACUCCAAUAUUUAUAUCUGUUGCUCAAUUCCGUCCUGAGAAGGUGGGCAUACUUAUGUAAACCUUAUGAAUGCAAGGUACUGCUGUUUUAGUGGCUCAUUUCUGGGGCCCUUGUUGGGUAUAUCAGCCCUUUAUUGCUAGUUUUUCACAUGACAGGCACAUCCUCUCCAACUUGAGGCUUUUUCAGUUGCCAUUAGAAAGCUAGAUCCUAACUUGCCAAGACCUAAGCUGCAGUUUGUGGGUAGUUGUCGAAACCAGUGGGAUGAAGAAAGACUACAGAAGUUAAAGGACAAAGCAGUUGAACUGAAGGUGGAUGAGGAUGUGCAAUUCUAUAAAAAUGUGAUGUAUAGGGACUUGAUGAGUGUUUUGGG
rnacentral:misc_RNA from 1 species